rnacentral:rRNA from 1 species
GACGAACCGUGCGAACGUUGUUCGGAUUCACUGGGCUUAAAGGGCGCGUAGGCGGCCAGCACAAGUCAGUUGUGAAAUCUCCGGGCUUAACUCGGAAAGGUCAACUGAUACUGUGCGGCUAGAGUGCGGAAGGGGCAACUGGAAUUCUCGGUGUAGCGGUGAAAUGCGUAGAUAUCGAGAGGAACACCUGCGGCGAAGGCGGGUUGCUGGGCCGACACUGACGCUGAGGCGCGAAAGCCAGGGGAGCGAACGGG